rnacentral:rRNA from 1 species
UACGUAGGGGGCAAGCGUUGUCCGGAUUUAUUGGGCGUAAAGAGCGUGUAGGCGGCUUGGUAAGUCCGCUGUGAAAGUCCAGGGCUCAACCCUGGAAAGCCGGUGGAAACUGUCAAGCUUGAGUCCGGAAGAGGCGAGUGGAAUUCCUGGUGUAGCGGUGAAAUGCGCAGAUAUCAGGAGGAACACCGAUGGCGAAGGCAGGUCUCUGGGCCAUUUCUGACACUGAGAAGCGAAAGCAUGGGGAGCGAACAGG